rnacentral:rRNA from 1 species
GACGAACGCUGGCGGCGUGCUUAACACAUGCAAGUCGAGCGGAGCGGCGAACGGGUGAGGAACGCGGGAGUAAAUGCCCCCCUCUCUGGGAAAACAGUUGGAAACGGCUGCUAAUACCGGAUAGUGGGGGAUGGCUCGGGUCCUAUCAGCUUGGUGGGGGGGUAGUGGCCUACCAAGGCGACGACGGGUAGCCGGCCGGGGGGGGCGACCGGCCACAUUGGGCUGAGAGACGGCCCAAACUCCUACGGGAGGCAGCAGUGGAGAAUAUUACACAAUGAGGGAAACCCUGAUGCAGCAACGCCGCGUGCGGGAUGACGGCCUUCGGGUUGUAAACCGCUUUCAGCCAUGACGCGUUAGUGGCAGAAGAAGCACCGGCUAACUACGUGCCAGCAGCCGCGGUAAUUC